ACAGCCCCGUACACAAAAGCGCAUGUGCUGUGAGCUCGAUGAGUAGGGCGGGACACGUGGUAUCCUGUCUGAAUAUGGGGGGACCAUCCUCCAAGGCUAAAUACUCCUGACUGACCGAUAGUGAACCAGUACCGUGAGGGAAAGGCGAAAAGAACCCCGGCGAGGGGAGUGAAAAAGAACCUGAAACCGUGUACGUACAAGCAGUGGGAGCACAGGUUUACCUGUGUGACUGCGUACCUUUUGUAUAAUGGGUCAGCGACUUAUAUUCUGUAGCAAGGUUAACCGUAUAGGGGAGCCGUAGGGAAACCGAGUCUUAACCGGGCGUUAAGUUGCAGGGUAUAGACCCGAAACCCGGUGAUCUAGCCAUGGGCAGGUUGAAGGUUGGGUAACACUAACUGGAGGACCGAACCGACUAAUGUUGAAAAAUUAGCGGAUGACCUGUGGCUGGGGGUGAAAGGCCAAUCAAACCGGGAGAUAGCUGGUUCUCCCCGAAAGCUAUUUAGGUAGCGCCUCGUGAAUUCAUCUCCGGGGGUAGAGCACUGUUUCGGCUAGGGGGCCAUCCCGGCUUACCAACCCGAUGCAAACUGCGAAUACCGGAGAAUGUUAUCACGGGAGACACACGGCGGGUGCUAACGUCCGUCGUGAAGAGGGAAACAACCCAGACCGCCAGCUAAGGUCCCAAAGUCAUGGUUAAGUGGGAAACGAUGUGGGAAGGCCCAGACAGCCAGGAUGUUGGCUUAGAAGCAGCCAUCAUUUAAAGAAAGCGUAAUAGCUCACUGGUCGAGUCGGCCUGCGCGGAAGAUGUAACGGGGCUAAACCAUGCACCGAAGCUGCGGCAGCGAACGUAUCACCCAAGACAACUUUACGGAGUUGACGAUUGACGGAGCGAAGCGACGUCAAAGCGUUCAUUAAAGUCGAGUUGGCUUAGGGAUACGUUCGUUGGGUAGGGGAGCGUUCUGUAAGCCUGUGAAGGUGUGUCGUGAGGCAUGCUGGAGGUAUCAGAAGUGCGAAUGCUGACAUAAGUAACGAUAAAGCGGGUGAAAAGCCCGCUCGCCGGAAGACCAAGGGUUCCUGUCCAACGUUAAUCGGGGCAGGGUGAGUCGACCCCUAAGGCGAGGCCGAAAGGCGUAGUCGAUGGGAAACGGGUUAAUAUUCCCGUACUUGGUGUUACUGCGAAGGGGGGACGGAGAAGGCUAUGUUGGCCGGGCGACGGUUGUCCCGGUUUAAGCGUGUAGGUGUGUGUUCCAGGUAAAUCCGGUUCACUUUAACACUGAGGCGUGACGACGAGGCACUACGGUGCUGAAGCAACAAAUGCCCUGCUUCCAGGAAAAGCCUCUAAGCAUCAGGUAACACGAAAUCGUACCCCAAACCGACACAGGUGGUCAGGUAGAGAAUACCAAGGCGCUUGAGAGAACUCGGGUGAAGGAACUAGGCAAAAUGGUGCCGUAACUUCGGGAGAAGGCACGCUGACACGUAGGUGAAGUGAUUUACUCAUGGAGCUGAAGUCAGUCGAAGAUACCAGCUGGCUGCAACUGUUUAUUAAAAACACAGCACUGUGCAAACACGAAAGUGGACGUAUACGGUGUGACGCCUGCCCGGUGCCGGAA
rnacentral:rRNA from 1 species